rnacentral:rRNA from 1 species
GGAGUACGGUCGCAAGAUUAAAACUCAAAGGAAUAGACGGGGACCCGCACAAGUGGUGGAGCAUGUGGUUUAAUUCGAAGAUACGCGAAGAACCUUACCUAGCCUUGACAUAUUUUAGAACACUUUAGAGAUAGAGUGGUGCCUUCGGGAGCUAAUAUACAGGUGCUGCACGGCUGUCGUCAGCUCGUGUCGUGAGAUGUUGGGUUAAGUCCCGCAACGAGCGCAACCCUCGUCACUAGUUACUAACGGUUCGGCCGAGGACUCUAGUGAGACUGCCUUCGUAAGGAGGAGGAAGGUGAGGACGACGUCAAGUCAUCAUGGCCCUUACGGCUAGGGCAACACACGUGCUACAAUGGCCAGGACAAUGAGAAGCGAUACCGCGAGGUGGAGCAAAUCUAUAAACCUGGUCUCAGUUCGGAUUGUAGUCUGCAACUCGACUACAUGAAGCUGGAAUCACUAGUAAUCGUAGAUCAGCUAUGCUACGGUGAAUACGUUCCCGGGUCUUGCACACACUGCCCGU